rnacentral:rRNA from 1 species
CACUCUAUACGGAGUUACAAAAGAACAUGUUAGACGAAUCAUCUGGAAAGAUGAAUCAAAGAAGGUAAUAAUCCUGUAGUCGAAAACAUAUUCUCUCUUGAGUGGAUCCUGAGUACGACGGAGCACGUGAAAUUCCGUCGGAAUCUGGGAGGACCAUCUCCUAAGGCUAAAUACUCUCUAGUGACCGAUAGUGAACCAGUACCGUGAGGGAAAGGUGAAAAGUACCCCGGAAGGGGAGUGAAA